UGCGGGGCCGCGGCAGGUUUUGGGUGCGAGCCUUCCCCUCCCGGCAGCCUACAAGGACCUGCAGUCCCGCGAGGAGACGAGGAACGCGGCGUGGCGGAAGCGGGGCUGGGACGAGAACGUGUACUACACGGUCCCGCUCAUCCGGACGAUGGAGUCGCGGAUCAUGAUCCCGCUGAAGAUCUCCCCGCUGCAGUGACCGGACCCGGGGCGGGGGGGGAAGGGGGGCAGCGGGGGGCCGAGUCCCGCGUCCCCGUCCCCAUGGGGUGCCGCAGCGCCCGGCCCGGGGCUGGGGCAGCCCCCGAGUCCAGUGGGGUCCGGGAGGGGGGUGGGGAGGGGCUGCAGAGGCGGGGCAGCUGCUGUUAAUUACCGCUAAUGACGUGCAAAUGAGGGGCUGCGAGCCGGGACCAAUUAAAUAUUUAAUUGCCGC